CCUCUUCCGUCUGCUAUCCCAGUCUGAGACACAGAAAAACACCGAGUUCAACUAGCAAGUUAGCAUGUGCUUAACGGUACCGUUAUCUGGGAACAGUUAACGUCACUUGUACAUCCCGCUACCCUCUGCUUUGAAGAGAUGAGAUUCAAAGACCACAAGAAGUGAAAUUAAAGCAGCAGUGGGGGUCCACCUUAAGCAUGCCCCUGCAAGGACUGGGUUGAUUUAGGUCCUAUUAAUAUGAUUGAUUGAUGAACAUGCAUUAAAUACACGUUGUUUGCUCUUGUUUAAAGAUGCUGAACUUUGUACAUUAAAACAAUAAGGAUAAUGCACGUCA